AUUAGUGGCGAACGGGUGAGUAACUCGUGGGCAAUCUGCCCUGCACUCUGGGACAAGCCCUGGAAACGGGGUCUAAUACCGGAUACUGACCCGCUUGGGCAUCCAAGCGGUUCGAAAGCUCCGGCGGUGCAGGAUGAGAACGCGGCCUAUCAGCUUGUUGGUGAGGUAAUGGCUCACCAAGGCGACGACGGGUAGCCGGCCUGAGAGGGCGACCGGCCACACUGGGACUGAGACACGGCCCAGACUCCUACGGGAGGCAGCAGUGGGGAAUAUUGCACAAUGGGCGAAAGCCUGAUGCAGCGACGCCGCGUGAGGGAUGACGGCCUUCGGGUUGUAAACCUCUUUCAGCAGGGAAGAAGCGAAAGUGACGGUACCUGCAGAAGAAGCGCCGGCUAACUACGUGCCAUCUGCCGCGGUAGAGGGUAUGGCGCGACCGUUGUCCGGAAUUAUUGGGCGUAAAGAGCUCGUAGGCGGCUUGUCACGUCGGUUGUGAAAGCCCGGGGCUUAACCCCGGGUCUGCAGUCUAUACGGGCAGGCUAGAGUUCGGUAGGGGAGAUCGGAAUUCCUGGUUGUAGCGGUGAAAUGCGCAGAUAAUCAGGAGGAACACCGGUGGCGAAGGCUGAUUCUCUGGGCCGAUACUGAACGCUGAGGAGCGAAAGCGUUGUGGAGC
rnacentral:rRNA from 1 species